UGUAAUGUGUCUGUUUUUAUCCCAAUUGCUUAAUGCAUGUUCUUGUAGAUUGUUGGUUUGGUUGGCACACGAAUAUGCUUAUGGAGGCGAAAUGGGAAGAUGAGUACAUUUCCCUCUCGUGAAGGCACGUUUAUGAAGGGUUUAUGCAUGCGUUACUUUGAUCCAGAAGCUGUUGUUGGAUGUGAGGAUGGGACAGCUCGUGUUUUUGAUAUGUACAGUAGGAAAUGUUCUAAAAUCAUUAGGUAUGUACAGCUAAAAUUUUCUUGUUUGUUAUUCAUCAA